AUUGAACGCUGGCGGCAGGCCUAACACAUGCAAGUCGAGCGGAUGAAGGGAGCUUGCUCCUGGAUUCAGCGGCGGACGGGUGAGUAAUGCCUAGGAAUCUGCCUGGUAGUGGGGGAUAAUGUCCGGAAACGGGCGCUAAUACCGCAUACGUCCUGAGGGAGAAAGUGGGGGAUCUUCGGACCUCACGCUAUCAGAUGAGCCUAGGCCGGAUUAGCUAGUUGGUGGGGUAAAGGCCUACCAAGGCGACGAUCCGUAACUGGUCUGAGAGGAUGAUCAGUCACACUGGAACUGAGACACGGUCCAGACUCCUACGGGAGGCAGCAGUGGGGAAUAUUGGGCAAUGGGCGAAAGCCUGAUCCAGCCAUGCCGCGUGUGUGAAGAAGGUCUUCGGAUUGUAAAGCACUUUAAGUUGGGAGGAAGGGCAGUAAGUUAAUACCUUGCUGUUUUGACGUUACCAACAGAAUAAGCACCGGCUAACUUCGUG
rnacentral:rRNA from 1 species